AUGUGGAGAGUGUGUCAGAGGUGGCUUGGCUCCUUCAGCUCCACUAGGACCAGUGUCGGAUUUUGAGUUAGUGGGGCCCUGUGUGCAGCUUCAUUUUUGAGUCCCCCCUUGGGACGCAGCCAAGAAAAAGAACGUUCAAGACAGCAAAAAAAGCUGAAGGCAAUUCUUUGGUAGACUACUUAAAACAACCAUGUUUAGAGCACAGUCCGCAGAAGCUCACAGCAUGCAGAAAGCCUGGACCUGCAAUUUGCAGUGCUUAUUAAGUUCAGUCAUUUGUCAAAUUUG